rnacentral:rRNA from 1 species
CCUACGGGAGGCAGCAGUGAGGAAUAUUGGUCAAUGGCCGCAAGGCUGAACCAGCCAAGCCGCGUGAAGGAUGAAUGUGCCACGCAUUGUAAACUUCUUUUGUCAAGGGAUAAAAUCAGGCUCGUGAGCCUUACCGAGGGUACUUGAAGAAAAAGCAUCGGCUAACUCCGUGCCAGCAGCCGCGGUAAUACGGAGGAGGCAAGCGUUAUCCGGAUUUACUGGGUGUAAAGGGAGCGCAGACGGGGAGGUAAGCCAGUAGUGAAAGCCUGCGGCUCAACCGUGGGACUGCAAUUGAUACUGGCUGCCUUGAGUGCAGGAGGGGUAGGCGGAAUUCGUGGUGUAGCGGUGAAAUGCGUAGAUAUCAGGAAGAACUCCGAUGGCGAAGGCAGCCUACUAAACUGCCACUGACGUUGAGGCCCGAAAGUGUGGGGAGCAAACAGGAUUAGAUACCCCAGUAGUC